ACUACAGGACUCUCAAUUUCACUCAAGUUGAUGGGUCAGUUGCACGAAUGGUAACUGUAAUUCACACUGGUCACGGGAAAAAGUGCCGCUGUGUGGGAAUCAAUUGUAGUUUCUGCGGAAAAGAUGUUACAGCCAGUGUAUGAAGACUGAACUUUUGAUAGGUCACAGGUGCUCUCGCAAAGACUGAUGGCCUGGCAGCAUGAACAUUUCUAUGAAAUACAGGUGUUGCAGUGGAUUCGGAGGUGAAGUCAUGAGGAGUUGUUGUGAUGGCAGAAGAAUGAGUGAUCAUUUAGCAUUUUGCACAAGGGUGUACGAGUGGUCCAGUUAAACAGAGAUUACAAACAAUUAAAACUAUAAUUUGAUAUAACAUCUACUUGUGAUUGAUGAAAGUAAUUCAAAGUAUCAUUUGGACAGAUCUGAUGAGUUAACAAAUAUUUGAAAGUAUACGAGGAACAUUUUACACAUAUUCAAUAUUAGUAUGUUGUAUAGUAAAUAUAAUAAACAAUUAAAGUUGAAAAACUGAA
rnacentral:lncRNA from 1 species